CCUCGAGAAAACGCAGCCGGACCUGGCUUGGUUCCAGGAACAAUUCUUCAGAUUCUAGAUCUGGGUGAAGUCUCACUCUGUCGCCCAGGCCGGAGUGUAGUGAAAUGAUCUGGGUUCACUACAACCUCUGCUUCCUGGGUUCAAGCAAUUCUCCUGCUUCAGCCUCCCAAGUAGCUGGGAUUACAGGUACGUGCCGCCACACCUGACUCAUUUUUGUAUUUUCUGUAGAGAUGGAAUUUCGCCAUGUAGGCCAGGCUAGCCUUGAACACCUGACCUCAAGUGAUCCACCUGCCUCGGCCUCCCAAAGUGCUGGGAUUACAGGCGUGAGCCACAGCGCCUGACUGGACCUCAUCCUUAUUAUCUGUAAGAUGUAUUAUAAAAGAAUCUGUUUAAUGUAUCUAUUCUGAGAAACUAACCUGUAAACAAUUGAAAGGAACUUAGCACAGAAUCUAAAAUAUGCUUAGAGGUCAAUAAAUUUUAGCUAUUAAAAAACCAUAUUCUUUGUGUCUAAAGAUGUUCUUAAAAGAGUUAUUCACAGUAA
rnacentral:lncRNA from 1 species